UGUUUGGUACAAAAUAAUGGUUUUUGGUGGCGGAUGUACUGAACUUACAUUGUUCUAAGGAUUUUUGUUUGACGUUUGAUCAGAACCAUCGUUGUACUUCGGUAAAGUUUGUAACUUCGGUAAUUU